CAGGUGCACGGGCUCCUCCGUUCGCGGGCUUCAUCGUGGCCGGCUCUGUCGUCGUGCCUACAGAUCCGGCGCGGUGUGGAACGCUGCUGGGUAAACACAGCCGUUUCCACAGCAACUGCCGACAAGGACACAAACCAGACGCUCCAAGUACUCAGCGCUGACCAGAGCGAUGUGUUUGCUGCCCUAGCGGCGGCCGUGGGGCGGAGCGCCUCGGGCGGCAGUGUAAGGUGUCAAGAGGUGCACACAGGUGCACACACCUGUGUGCUAACCAGUGAAUGCUUGCGCAGUUUGGCGAGUGCCACCUAGGUGCUCGCAUUUUCCUCUUGUCCCAGGCAAGGAACACGGCCGCGGGGACCGUUAGGAGUGCCUGUGACGGGUGUCAAAUACAGACGUGACUUUG